rnacentral:rRNA from 1 species
GCAACGGAUCUCUUGGCUCUCGCAUCGAUGAAGAACGCAGCGAAAUGCGAUAAGUAAUGUGAAUUGCAGAAUUCAGUGAAUCAUCGAAUCUUUGAACGCACCUUGCACUCCUUGGUAUUCCGAGGAGCAUGCCUGUUUGAGUGUC